GACGUAGGGGACGAGCGUUGUCCGGAUUCAUUGGGCGUAAAGCGCGCGUAGGUGGUUUGUUAAGUCUGUUGUGAAAGCCCCGGGCUCAACCUGGGAAUGGCAAUGGAUACUGGCAAGCUAGAGUGCGGUAGAGGGUAGUGGAAUUCCCGGUGUAGCGGUGAAAUGCGCAGAUAUCAGGAAGAACACCCGUGGCGAAGGCGGUUCUCUGGGACGGUACUGACGCUGAGACGCGAAAGCGUGGGGAGCGAACAGG
rnacentral:rRNA from 1 species